rnacentral:ncRNA from 1 species
GUCGGUUCCAAGGGUUGGGCUGUUCGCCCAUUAAAGCGGUACGCGAGCUGGGUUCAGAACGUCGUGAGACAGUUCGGACUCUAUCCUGUGUAGGCGUUUGGAUUCUUGAGGAGGCUCUUUCCUAGUACGAGAGGACCGGAAAGAAGGAAUCCCUGGUGUACCGGUUGUCCCAAAAGGGCAUCGCCGGGUAGCUAUAUUCCUAUGAGAUAAACACUGAAAGCAUCUCAAGUGCGAAGCUUACUCCAAGAUGAGGAAUCCAUAUUAGUCUGCCGGAAGAUUACCGGCUUCGGCCAUAGGCCGAUCGUCCUCUGGACGAGAUAGGCUCUAAGUGUAAGUGUAGCAAUACAUUAAGCUGAGGAGUACUAAUUGACGAUCUCCCAUCUCUU